AGAGUUUGAUCAUGGCUCAGGAUGAACGCUGGCGGCGUGCCUAAUACAUGCAAGUCGAGCGGCAGCACGGUCUUCGGACUGGUGGCGAGCGGCGGACGGCUGAGUAACGCGUAGGAAUAUACCCCAAAGUGAGGGAUAACUGCCCGGAAGGGUGGCUAAUACCGCAUGUGGUCUUCGGACUAAAGCCUUCGGGCGCUUUGGGAAUAGCCUGCGUAAGAUUAGCUAGUUGGUGAGGUAAUGGCUCACCAAGGCGACGAUCUUUAGCUGGUCUGAGAGGAUGACCAGCCAGACUGGAACUGAGACACGGUCCAGACUCCUACGGGAGGCAGCAGUAGGGAAUUUUCCACAAUGGGCGAAAGCCUGAUGGAGCAACGCCGCGUGCAGGAUGAAGGCCCUCGGGUCGUAAACUGCUUUUAUGUGCGAAGAAUAUGACGGUAACACAUGAAUAAGGGUCGGCUAACUACGUG
rnacentral:rRNA from 1 species